GACGAACGCUGGCGGCGUGCCUAAUACAUGCAAGUAGAACGCACAGUUUAUACCGUAGCUUGCUACACCAUAGACUGUGAGUUGCGAACGGGUGAGUAACGCGUAGGUAACCUGCCUGGUAGCGGGUGAUAACUAUUGGAAACGAUAGCUAAUACCGCAUAAUAUUGAUUAUUGCAUGAUAAUUGAUUGAAAGAUGCUAUUGCAUCACUACCAGAUGGACCUGCGUUGUAUUAGCUAGUAGGUGAGGUAACGGCUCACCUAGGCGACGAUACAUAGCCGACCUGAGAGGGUGAUCGGCCACACUGGGACUGAGACACGGCCCAGACUCCUACGGGAGGCAGCAGUAGGGAAUCUUCGGCAAUGGACGAAAGUCUGACCGAGCAACGCCGCGUGAGUGAAGAAGGUUGUCGGAUCGUAAAGCUCUGUUGUAAGAGAAGAACGGGUGUGAGAGUGGAAAGUUCACACUGUGACGGUAUCUUACCAGAAAGGGACGGCUAACUACGUG
rnacentral:rRNA from 1 species